GCGCCUGUAGCUCAGUGGAUAGAGCAAUUGGUUGCGGUCCAAUAGGUCGGGGGUUCGACUCCCUUCAGGCGCGCCA
rnacentral:tRNA from 1 species